UAUAUAGUUUGCUCAGCCCGCCUAAUUUUUUGGUCGAAAGUUAAACUUCCCACUUUUUCUUCCCACACAUAUUCGCACUGCAAUUUUGCUCGGCCCGCCUCUAUUUUUCAGUUGACCUCUCUCUCUCUCUUGCUGUGCAUCUCUUCCCACCGAGACCCUCUCAUCCUCUCAGCAACGUCGUCGCCGUCGUCUCUCCCCCAAACCCCCAACCUAGCUUCUGUCCCUAGACGCCUCCGACCCCCUUCACGAUAAAGUCGAAGGCUCGAACUCUUCACUCUUGGUUUGCUCUCUUCGACUCUUCCUCAAGUUGUGAUUCUGUGAAGCUCGGUGACUCAAGCUUGGAGAAAUUUGUGUUCGAUUUCUGGGUUCAAGUUCGGUGAUUCUUCAAGCUCAAUUUCUGGAAUCAUGGAAGCAUUGCUCCUGCCAAGAACUCCAGACUAUCACCUCUGCCUCCAGAACGUGCUAGUUUCAAUUAUGGUAUUGGUGAAACCGUUGAUAUACCUAUUGAUGGAAGUGGGGAUUUGAAAAAGAGGGAGAGGGAACUCCAAGCUAAAGAAGCUGAACUGAGAAAGUGUGAAGAGAUUGUAAAACGGAAAGAGGAUGCUGCAGCACGAGGUAUUAUGCCUUGCCUUUAUUUUGCUGAAAUAUCAGUAGUCUUCUCAUUGUUUGGGGUUAAAUGAAUAUGUUCAAAUGCCCAGGUAUCGAUCACCAAAUGCAAAUUCUGAAUGAAUCUUUACUUUAGAAUUAAUUAUCUGAGCAUAAUCUAGUUUAUAGAUCACUACUCUAAUUUUAUAAUCUAGUUUAAAGGAAGCUUUCUCUGCAAUCUGUAUGUUAACAAUAAGCAGCCAGCAGGGAGCUCGGUAAUUGGUGUUUGCACCUUUUCUGGCAUGUAAUUAACAUAUCAAUUGCAAAUGUUGUAUAUUACAAGAUGCAAUGCUACCAUGCUUUCUGGUGAUAUAAAUCUGUCAAUCAAUCAUAUCCACCUUGUCUAGCUUUUUGACUAAUUCAGGACGCUCUUACCUAAGCUAUUAGGUAAUCUGAUAUUAACAUUGCUGAAGUCUCUUGUGGAAAUGAAACUGAUUGGAAUUUGAGAAGUGAAUCGAUCAGACUUCCCUUAAUCAAAGAGUAAAAAGAGAUUGCUUCUGGCUCACAGUGACAUGUUGGAGUGGUAUGCUAAGCUUGUCCAGGGACUACUGACUUGAAGCCUUGAACUUAUAGUACAACCGAGCUUAUAGUAAAACCAUGCUAUUCAUGAUGCCCUUGAAGUAUUGUAGCAGCAAUUGCAUACAGGAGAGGCAUCAAGGCAUAGGGGAGUGACAGCGAAAGUAAAGGCUGUUGUUGAUGCAACUUUUGCUGGCAUCUUCAUUGUCAUCACAAAGUGUGUUCUUCAAGACUUGGUUGGUUUCAACAUUUUACUAAACUUUGUUAGAAAACUAGUUCUGUUGAUGUAAUGACUUUGUUGGAUAUAUGGAUGAAUGUAUCGGAUUUUAACAUAAAUGAAUGUGUUUUGGAUGUGAUGUCAUUUUGAAUGUC